AUACUCUGUAGAAGGCAACAGACACAGAUUUUUUGGUUAAUAUAUGUCUGAGCAAUCUUUCCUUCAACAAAAUAUAAAACUGUCAGUAAAUUCCUUCUGAUUUCAGAUGAUGCAUUUCAAAAUAAUACCGUAACGGCUCACCAUUUUAAUCAAUUAUUGAGUACGCCUUGGGGAUUUUCCACCAAUUCCACUUGAUGCUGCUCUUAAAAUGUUCUUUGGCCUGUUAAUGAUUAAAGAUUUGGAUUUGAGUCUUUACACUAAAUAUGGCCAGCCUGUCUUCUGUAACAACAUAAUUUUGC